AGUUAUUUAAACAAACGAUCGGGGAACAAAACGCCUCUUGUCCGUGAGUCUCAUUGAGAGAGCUGGAGUUGAUAGAGCUGGAGUUAAUGGAAUGCAUUAAAUUGAAAUCAGACAAGUGUUAGCUAAGCUUUGUAAGACCUUGGGGAACCUGUAAUAUAAGUGCCAUGACGAAAUUCAAACUGUAAAUAUACUAUAGUUAUGCCAAGUGUAGCUAGCUAGCCGCGAUCUUUUCCCAUUGUAUUGAAUGGGACAUAUAGCUAGCUACCUAGCUGCUCCUCCUAACAAGAUCCCUCACGUUCAUAAAAAUGCCUUAAAUUGAAAUCGGACUGUGAUAUCAGCUUUUGUUAGCUUUGUAACACCUUAGGGUAGCUGUGAUAUAAAUGUCGUGAUGUGUAUAAAUAUGCUAUAGUUAUGCCGAAAGUGUAUCCGGGGUCUGUGAAAGGCCGGGCAGCAAGGCAGCAACCCAGGCAGCACCGGCCGCAGUCACGUUAGCCUGCUGAGCUCCUGAACUCCGACACACAG